rnacentral:antisense_RNA from 1 species
AGACGCAACCGCGUGGAUCGCCUUCUCCACCCGACAUACUGAAGCCAAAAUAAGCCACGACUUCGUGUGCCCCACGAAGGAGUUUCUCCCGCAUCUGCCAUCAGAGGACCGUCGCCCUAAGGAGCCCGAGCUCCCGCGGUACUCUGGGAAGACUUCAGAGCAGUAGUGCAUAGUGUAUUGAUACUACCCGCCCCUGAGCCUAGCAAAUUGCCUGGUGAGCGACCAUCCUGGAUAAAUGGUGAAUGAUGACAUCCCAGCGGUCACUUCCACACACCACAGGCUUCUCCGAAAUUGGAGUUCCAGAAGCCAUCCUUGGAUAACAUCUCUCUAAUCUCCUGGGAGAAUCCUUCUUCAAAGAAAUCCUCCAUCAGAGGAGAGUUCUUGGUCUCAGUCACAUCUGAAAGAGCAAGUGCAAAUGUCUCCUGUUCACUAAGGACUGAGUCUUGCCCUGUUGUCCAGGCUGAAGUACUGCAUGAUCUCAGCUCAAUACAACCUCUGCCUCCUGGGUUCAAGUGAUUUUCCUGCUUCAGCCUCCCAAGUAGCUGG